rnacentral:siRNA from 1 species
AUCCAAACUGACUCAAACCCAACU